rnacentral:rRNA from 1 species
AACGAACGCUGGCGGCAUGCUUUACACAUGCAAGUCGAACGGUAACAGGUCUUCGGAUGCUGACGAGUGGCGAACGGGUGAGUAAUGCAUCGGAACGUGCCCAGUCGUGGGGGAUAACGCAGCGAAAGCUGCGCUAAUACCGCAUACGAUCUAUGGAUGAAAGCGGGGGACCGUAAGGCCUCGCGCGAUUGGAGCGGCCGAUGUCAGAUUAGGUAGUUGGUGGGGUAAAGGCCCACCAAGCCAACGAUCUGUAGCUGGUCUGAGAGGACGACCAGCCACACUGGGACUGAGACACGGCCCAGACUCCUACGGGAGGCAGCAGUGGGGAAUUUUGGACAAUGGGCGCAAGCCUGAUCCAGCAAUGCCGCGUGCAGGAAGAAGGCCUUCGGGUUGUAAACUGCUUUUGUACGGAACGAAACGGCUCUCUCUAAUACAGAGGGCUAAUGACGGUAGCGUGAGAAGAAGCCCCGGCUAACUUCGUGCCAGCCGCCGCGGUAAAAC